rnacentral:rRNA from 1 species
UACGGAGGGUGCGAGCGUUGUCCGGAAUCACUGGGCGUAAAGGGCUCGUAGGCGGUUUGUCGCGUCGGGAGUGAAAACACCGGGCUUAACUCGGUGCUUGCUUUCGAUACGGGGCAGGACUUAGAGGGUAUUCAGGGGGAGAACGGGAAUUCCUGGUGUAGCGGUGAAAUGCGCAGACUAUCAGGAGGAACACCGGUGGCGAAGGCGGUUCUCUGGGAAGUAUCCUGACGGCUGGAGGAGCGAAAGUGUGGGGACGCGAACGG